UUAAAGGAAUUGACGGAAGGGCGCCACCAGGAGUGGAGCCUGCGGCUUAAUUUGACUCAACACGGGAAAACUUACCCGGCCCGGACACCGGAAGGAUUGACAGAUUGAUAGCUCUUUCUUGAUUCGGUGGAUGGUGGUGCAUGGCCGUUCUUAGUUGGUGGAGCGAUUUGUCUAGUUAAUUCCGAUAACGAACGAGACUCUAGCCUGCUAAAUAGACCCACGGUCCUUUGUACCGUGAGCGGGUCUUCUUAGAGGGACAGGCGGCGCUUAGCCGCACGAGACAGAGCAAUAACAGGUCUGUGAUGCCCUUAGAUGUCCGGGGCCGCACGCGCGCUACACUGAAGGAAUCAGCGCGUGCUUACCCUGGGCCGAAAGGACUGGGUAACCGCCUGAACCUCCUUCGUGAUGGGGAUAGGGGAUUGUAAUUAUUCCCCUCGAACGAGGAAUUCCCAGUAAGCGCGAGUCAUCAGCUCGCGUUGAUUACGUCCCUGCCCUUUGKGCACACCGCCCGUCGCCACUACUGAUUGAAUGAUUUAGUGAGGUCUUCGGACUGGAGCGGGUCGCGACUCCGGGCGCUCCGCGCCGGGAAGACGAUCGAACUUGGUCAUUUAGAAGAAGAGAAAGUCGUAACAAGGUUUCC
rnacentral:rRNA from 1 species